AUUUUUUUUUUUUCUCUGUUCUCUCUCGAUCCAGACGAGGAAUUGAAGGCGAUUCAGAAAAAUCAAUCCACAGUUUCAGACCCAAUUCAUCUUCAAGCUUUGUCAUCCAUUCCUCCAAAUUCUUCACCGGAAUAUCCAAUUUCUCGAAUCUGAGUAAUGGGUUUUCUCUAAAAUCCUCGAUUAAUCAUGGGUUCCUCUUCAAAUCCCCAAUUUCUCGAAUCUGAUCAAUAUGUUUCGUUCCUAUUCUUGCUACUUCCAUGAUUUGUGUCAAUCAAUAUGUUUCAAUCCGUCAGUUCUUCACAACUAAAAGAGUUCUAAAACUCAUUUAGAUGGACACAGUCCGGUGAAGCCAAGCUUUUUUUCUGCCAUAAAGAUGAGGAGGCUCGUAUGAUAAUGUCUGCACACGCGGUUCAUGGGAACAAAUGGGAUGUGAUAAACAUAAAUUAAAAAAUUAUUAUUUAAAUACUUGAGCAAUGGAGUGAUUUUGUUUAAGUU